rnacentral:rRNA from 1 species
UCGGACGGGUGAGUAACGCGUGAGAAUCUACCCUUAGGAUGGGGACAACAGUUGGAAACGACUGCUAAUACCCGAUGUGCCGAGAGGUAAAACUUAUAUGGCCUGAGGAAGAGCUCGCGUCUGAUUAGCUAGUUGGUAGUGUAAGGGACUACCAAGGCGACGAUCAGUAGCUGGUCUGAGAGGAUGAUCAGCCACACUGGGACUGAGACACGGCCCAGACUCCUACGGGAGGCAGCAGUGGGGAAUUUUCCGCAAUGGGCGAAAGCCUGACGGAGCAAGACCGCGUGAGGGAGGAAGGCCUACUGGUUGUAAACCUCUUUUGAUAGGGAAGAACACAAUGACGGUACCCAUCGAAUCAGCCUCGGCUAACUCCGUGCCAGCAGCCGCGGUAAUACGGAGGAGGCAAGCGUUAUCCGGAAUUAUUGGGCGUAAAGCGUCCGUAGGUGGUUAUCCAAGUCAGUUGUUAAAGCGUAGAGCUUAACUCUAUAAGGGCAAUUGAAACUGGGUGGCUAGAGUGCGAUAGGGGCAAGGGGAAUUCCCAGUGUAGCGGUGAAAUGCGUAGAUAUUGGGAAGAACAUCGGUGGCGAAGGCGCCUUGCUGGGUCUGCACUGACACUGAGGGACGAAAGCUAGGGGAGCGAAAGGGAUUAGAUACCCCUGUAGUC